rnacentral:rRNA from 1 species
GUUGAACGCUGGCGGCGUGCCUAAUACAUGCAAGUCGAGCGAACAGACGAGGGGUUGGCUCCUGUGACGUUAGCGGCGGGCGGGUGAGUUACACGUGGAUAACCUACCUAUAAGGCUGUGAUAACUUCGGGAAACCGUUGCUAAUACCUGCUAAUAUAUGGAACCACAUGGUUCAAUAGUGGAAUCGGGUUUUGCUGUCACUUAUUGACGGAUCCGCGCCGCAUUAGCUAGUUGGUAAGGUAACGGCUUACCAAGGCAACGAUGAGUAGCCGGUCUGAGAGGAUGAUCGGCCACACUGGAACUGAGACACGGCCCAGACUCCUACGGGAGGCAGCAGUAGGGAAUUUUCGGCAAUGGGCGAAAGCUUGACGGAGCAAUGCCGCGUGAGUGAAGAAGGCCUUCGGAUCGUAAAGCUCUUUUGUCAGGAAAGAAAAAAUGUGUACGUAACUAGGCACGUCUUGACGGUACCGAAUCAGAAAGCAACGGCUAACUACGUG